rnacentral:rRNA from 1 species
CAGUAGCCGCGGUAAUACGAAGGGUGCAAGCGUUACUCGGAAUUACUGGGCGUAAAGCGUGCGUAGGUGGUGGUUUAAGUCCGUUGUGAAAGCCCUGGGCUCAACCUGGGAAUUGCAGUGGAUACUGGGUCACUAGAGUGUGGUAGAGGAUAGUGGAAUUUCCGGUGUAGCAGUGAAAUGCGUAGAGAUCGGAAGGAACAUCUGUGGCGAAGGCGACUAUCUGGGCCAACACUGACACUGAGGCACGAAAGCGUGGGGAGCAAACGGGAUUAGAUACCCCCGUAGUCCCUGUCUCUUAUAC